rnacentral:rRNA from 1 species
UUAAGCGACUAAGCGUACACGGUGGAUGCCCUGGCAGUCAGAGGCGAUGAAGGACGUGCUAAUCUGCGAUAAGCGUCGGUAAGGUGAUAUGAACCGUUAUAACCGGCGAUUUCCGAAUGGGGAAACCCAGUGUGUUUCGACACACUAUCAUUAACUGAAUCCAUAGGUUAAUGAGGCGAACCGGGGGAACUGAAACAUCUAAGUACCCCGAGGAAAAGAAAUCAACCGAGAUUCCCCCAGUAGCGGCGAGCGAACGGGGAGGAGCCCAGAGCCUGAAUCAGUGUGUGUGUUAGUGGAAGCGUCUGGAAAGGCGCGCGAUACAGGGUGACAGCCCCGUACACAAAAAUGCACAUACUGUGAGCUCGAUGAGUAGGGCGGGACACGUGGUAUCCUGUCUGAAUAUGGGGGGACCAUCCUCCAAGGCUAAAUACUCCUGACUGACCGAUAGUGAACCAGUACCGUGAGGGAAAGGCGAAAAGAACCCCGGCGAGGGGAGUGAAAAAGAACCUGAAACCGUGUACGUACAAGCAGUGGGAGCCUCUUUUAUGGGGUGACUGCGUACCUUUUGUAUAAUGGGUCAGCGACUUAUAUUCUGUAGCAAGGUUAACCGAAUAGGGGAGCCGAAGGGAAACCGAGUCUUAACUGGGCGUUAAGUUGCAGGGUAUAGACCCGAAACCCGGUGAUCUAGCCAUGGGCAGGUUGAAGGUUGGGUAACACUAACUGGAGGACCGAACCGACUAAUGUUGAAAAAUUAGCGGAUGACUUGUGGCUGGGGGUGAAAGGCCAAUCAAACCGGGAGAUAGCUGGUUCUCCCCGAAAGCUAUUUAGGUAGCGCCUCGUGAAUUCAUCUCCGGGGGUAGAGCACUGUUUCGGCAAGGGGGUCAUCCCGACUUACCAACCCGAUGCAAACUGCGAAUACCGGAGAAUGUUAUCACGGGAGACACACGGCGGGUGCUAACGUCCGUCGUGAAGAGGGAAACAACCCAGACCGCCAGCUAAGGUCCCAAAGUCAUGGUUAAGUGGGAAACGAUGUGGGAAGGCCCAGACAGCCAGGAUGUUGGCUUAGAAGCAGCCAUCAUUUAAAGAAAGCGUAAUAGCUCACUGGUCGAGUCGGCCUGCGCGGAAGAUGUAACGGGGCUAAACCAUGCACCGAAGCUGCGGCAGCGACACUAUGUGUUGUUGGGUAGGGGAGCGUUCUGUAAGCCUGUGAAGGUGUACUGUGAGGUAUGCUGGAGGUAUCAGAAGUGCGAAUGCUGACAUAAGUAACGAUAAAGCGGGUGAAAAGCCCGCUCGCCGGAAGACCAAGGGUUCCUGUCCAACGUUAAUCGGGGCAGGGUGAGUCGACCCCUAAGGCGAGGCCGAAAGGCGUAGUCGAUGGGAAACAGGUUAAUAUUCCUGUACUUGGUGUUACUGCGAAGGGGGGACGGAGAAGGCUAUGUUGGCCGGGCGACGGUUGUCCCGGUUUAAGCGUGUAGGCUGGUUUUCCAGGCAAAUCCGGAAAAUCAAGGCUGAGGCGUGAUGACGAGGCACUACGGUGCUGAAGCAACAAAUGCCCUGCUUCCAGGAAAAGCCUCUAAGCAUCAGGUAACAUCAAAUCGUACCCCAAACCGACACAGGUGGUCAGGUAGAGAAUACCAAGGCGCUUGAGAGAACUCGGGUGAAGGAACUAGGCAAAAUGGUGCCGUAACUUCGGGAGAAGGCACGCUGAUAUGUAGGUGAAGUCCCUCGCGGAUGGAGCUGAAAUCAGUCGAAGAUACCAGCUGGCUGCAACUGUUUAUUAAAAACACAGCACUGUGCAAACACGAAAGUGGACGUAUACGGUGUGACGCCUGCCCGGUGCCGGAAGGUUAAUUGAUGGGGUCAGCGCAAGCGAAGCUCUUGAUCGAAGCCCCGGUAAACGGCGGCCGUAACUAUAACGGUCCUAAGGUAGCGAAAUUCCUUGUCGGGUAAGUUCCGACCUGCACGAAUGGCGUAAUGAUGGCCAGGCUGUCUCCACCCGAGACUCAGUGAAAUUGAACUCGCUGUGAAGAUGCAGUGUACCCGCGGCAAGACGGAAAGACCCCGUGAACCUUUACUAUAGCUUGACACUGAACAUUGAGCCUUGAUGUGUAGGAUAGGUGGGAGGCUUAGAAGUGUGGACGCCAGUCUGCAUGGAGCCGACCUUGAAAUACCACCCUUUAAUGUUUGAUGUUCUAACGUUGACCCGUGAUCCGGGUUGCGGACAGUGUCUGGUGGGUAGUUUGACUGGGGCGGUCUCCUCCUAAAGAGUAACGGAGGAGCACGAAGGUUGGCUAAUCCUGGUCGGACAUCAGGAGGUUAGUGCAAUGGCAUAAGCCAGCUUGACUGCGAGCGUGACGGCGCGAGCAGGUGCGAAAGCAGGUCAUAGUGAUCCGGUGGUUCUGAAUGGAAGGGCCAUCGCUCAACGGAUAAAAGGUACUCCGGGGAUAACAGGCUGAUACCGCCCAAGAGUUCAUAUCGACGGCGGUGUUUGGCACCUCGAUGUCGGCUCAUCACAUCCUGGGGCUGAAGUAGGUCCCAAGGGUAUGGCUGUUCGCCAUUUAAAGUGGUACGCGAGCUGGGUUUAGAACGUCGUGAGACAGUUCGGUCCCUAUCUGCCGUGGGCGCUGGAGAACUGAGGGGGGCUGCUCCUAGUACGAGAGGACCGGAGUGGACGCAUCACUGGUGUUCGGGUUGUCAUGCCAAUGGCACUGCCCGGUAGCUAAAUGCGGAAGAGAUAAGUGCUGAAAGCAUCUAAGCACGAAACUUGCCCCGAGAUGAGUUCUCCCUGACCCUUUAAGGGUCCUGAAGGAACGUUGAAGACGACGACGUUGAUAGGCCGGGUGUGUAAGCGCAGCGAUGCGUUGAGCUAACCGGUACUAAUGAACCGUGAGGCUUAACCUU